GACGGAGGGGGCUAGCGUUGUUCGGAAUUACUGGGCGUAAAGAGUGCGUAGGCGGUUUAGUAAGUUGGAAGUGAAAGCCCGGGGCUUAACCUCGGAAUAGCUUUCAAAACUACUAAUCUAGAGUGUAGUAGGGGAUGAUGGAAUUCCUAGUGUAGAGGUGAAAUUCUUAGAUAUUAGGAGGAACACCGGUGGCGAAGGCGGUCAUCUGGGCUACAACUGACGCUGAUGCACGAAAGCGUGGGGAGCAAACAGG
rnacentral:rRNA from 1 species